UCAGCCGUUUUUCAUUCAUUUUGAAGCAAAGCUUCUUCUUCUUCAUUAGACCAAAAACCUUCCUUGAACACACCCUAACCUAGAGACCAAAAAUGAAAUUUUUUUACAGAACCCUAACAAGCAGAAGCAAGCUAGUCGUUGUUGAUCUUCAGCAUCCUUGACAACCUAAGACCUAGGAGCUAAAGAAAAGAACGCAACAGCAGUAAGGGAUAACAGUCGUUGCUUCAUCUUCUUCUUCAAUCUUGAGAUACCUUCUACUACACACCCUAAACUAAGAGAGCCCCAAAAAACCAUUGGAGCUGCUGGUACUUCUUCACUCUUGAACACACAUAGUAGAAGCCGAUCUCCCCACCUCCAUUCUGCCGAGAAAACACCCCCAAACAGUCAUUAAGACUAGUCACAAAAAUUGCCAUGGUCGAGGUCAGUUGUGGUGGUAUUCUAUUUCGAUCGAGUCGAGUUCAUCACCAUCGUUCGAGCUCCGAUUUUGGUUCGAGAUCCCCGUACAUUUAGCUCAUAUUUUCUGGCCAGUUUGUUUGGGUCAUAGAUUCAAAUAUCUGACCAUCAAUGGAGUUUCUUCAUGCUUAAAGCAAAGAAAGUUGCUAUUAAAAGAAAAAGGAGGUGUGACAAGUGGUACCGUGAGACAGUGUACUGGAGGGACUAUACAAUAUGAUCAUCUUCAUCGGCUGAUUCGUUCCCCAUGGCGACGUGUUUUUGUUAUCCUUUCAGGCUGCGCAUAUGGUGAUGAAAUCUAUGAAGCCAUUUUUUGAUGAGCCUUGGAAUUCUUGGAGACAGAUACCGUACCAGAUCAGAAUGAAUAUGAGGCAACAACUUAAGGUUAAGUGAGUAUGGCAGCCAACACUUGAAAAUCUGGUGCAUGAUAACUUCGAGAAGAAAGCAUAGAAACUGAUAACAAAUCACAUCAUGUUGCUAGGAAAGAUGGCAAAAAGCCUAAUUCGAUACGUGAAGAUGUCUGGAAUCAGCUCAUGGAGAAGUGGACCACCCCCGAGUGGAAGAAGAAGAGUGAACAAGCAAAGUUAAACAGAGCUUCUACUAGGGGUGGAGCAUUCCAUACUAGAGGUUCUAUUAGUUUUGCGGCCCAUCGUUUAAAAAUUGUAAUUUCAUUAUAAAAUAUUCUUAGCUUUACAAGUAUGCAAAUUGAACACACACACACACACACACACACACACACACACA